UCCCGACACUAAGGGAGAUAACAACGUUUUACUGAUGUAAAACUGGUUCCCGUUAAAAAAAAUUAGGAUAUAUCGCCUAUAUAUCUAGGUCACGGUAACAGUUCCAAUGUCGUCUGUUGACAACGUGUGUAAACAACUUCUAAGUUACAGCCCAUCGCUCAGAAGAAAGGAAGGUUUAUCAGAAAGGAUAAAUGCAUGCGUUCUUUUAAAAUAAAGAAUAUGAAUAGCUUCAACUUGAAAGUUCACACAGUCUUAAAUGAUUCUCAACUUAUAAGAUCAUAUGAUAUAAGUUUUUGGAAGUUGGAGAAAUUCGGCGUCCGAUCACAGACAGUGACUCUCCGUUUGACGAAACCUGGAAAGAAGGUCGAAGGAUAGCUCUAGUUGAUCACCUAGUGCAGAAUAAGUUCGUUAAGAUAUAAAACUGUCCCCUGCGGAUACUGUCUGUGAACGGAAAUACGACCGUCAAGGCUUGGACCAGGAGCCGAGGCGGAGGCCGUGGAGCAUUUUGUCCAUACCAUAUCGUUGUAGCUGCAGUGAAUGUAACCUGCUUAUCAUACAUGUGUAACAGUGUUGAAACGAGGAGAGAAAUGGAACUGGUGAAUUGUUAUCAAUUCAAAAGCUGUACAUGGAAUGAUACAUGCAGGAAUUUGUGCCACACAUUUCAACAAUUUCCUUAAUGGAUUGAAUGUACUUUAUGUGAAUUCAUCAGCCAUACUUAAAAAGAAAAAGGAGAAUGAAACUGUAAAGAAAAUAUUUGCAGUUGCAAAAGAAUGCUGUAAAUAAAUUCAAAAGAAGAAACAGUUUUAAACAUGGUUAAUUUAAUGAAUAAUUGGAAGGUUGAAGCUAGUUUUGUUGCAGAAUGGCAAAUGUUUGGUACUGGUUGAAACUAUGAAAGUGAUACAGGUCCCAUGGUAAUCAUUUAACAGCAGGUUUUUAACAGCAGUUAUGCAGAAAAAUGAAGGAUGGCUGUCAAUGGUAAAUGCAGCAUCAGAAUAUUCCCCAGGAAAGUUUACCCAGAGAGUUUGGGAAAGUAUGAAUAAGAAAUUAGAGAGGGAAACACUUACAGAUAACCAGAAAACAAAGAUUUUAAAAGAAAAGAAUUGCAACUAAUAGUAAUAUGAUAUAUCUGACUGGGAGCAACAUGUACUAUUCAAUAUAGAAGGAUUGACAAUUUUGACUGAGAACAAAGUGAACUUUAAUAAUGCUAUGACUAUCAAUCAAUACUUGACUGAAUCAGAGGAGUAAACUAUUUACAUAUUUGUAAAUAUAAAAAUUAUAUGUUUGCUUGAUUAUU